ACUUGUUCUUUAAAUAAGGACUAGUAUGAAUGGCACCACGAGGGUUAUACUGUCUCCUUUUUCUAAUCAGUGAAACUAAUCUUCCCGUGAAGAAGCGGGAAUUAAUAUAUAAGACGAGAAGACCCUAUGGAGCUUUAAAUAUAUAACAAGUGCUUAUUUUUUAUUUUCAUCCAGAUGACUAACAAUUAUUUUAGCAUUUUGACCUAUAAAUUUUAGGUUGGGGUGACCAUGGAGCAAAAAUUAACCUCCAUAUUGAAAAAACCUCAUUUUUAAGCAAAAAGUUACCACUUUAGGCAUCAACAUACUGACAUUAAUUGACCCAAUAAUUUGAUCAAUGAACCAAGUUACCCUAGGGAUAACAGCGCAAUCUACUUCAAGAGCUCUUAUCGACAAGUAG
rnacentral:rRNA from 1 species